CUCUCCGGUAAUGUAUGGACCUUAGAGACCGCUGCGCUAAAAGCGGCGGUUGCCCAAAGAGAGGGCAGGCGUCUUGAGACGCUUGAAAGAACAGCAGACUGAACAAAGUGAAGAUUUCAGAAACGGCCGCAUCGUGUAGAUGCAAAGCAAUUGCCUGUGGCAUUUAUUACCGUUCCUUCAACUGCUGCGGGCACCCACAAGGGUAAUUUCAUAAAAUAUGAAGAUUAAGAAAGGAGAAGAAAAUUGGAUUUGGAAUUAGCAAUAGGAAGUGGAGUGGCAAUCCAACCCAAAUAAAGUCUCAACCAACCGUAU
rnacentral:lncRNA from 1 species